rnacentral:misc_RNA from 1 species
GAUGAAGAACGUAGCGAAAUGCGAUACUUGGUGUGAAUUGCAGAAUCCCGUGAACCAUCGAGUCUUUGAACGCAAGUUGCGCCCGAAGCCAUUAGGCCGAGGGCACGCCUGCCUGGGCGUCACACGUCGUUGCCCCCCCAUCUACUCCUUCGGGAUUGCGGGGGGCGGAUGAUGGCCUCCCGUGCGCCUCGCCGCGCGGUUGGCAAAAAUGCCAAGUCCUCGGCGACGCACGCCACGACAAUCGGUGGUUGCGAAACCUCGGUUGCCCGUCGUGUGCGGUCGUCGCGCAUCGAGGGCUCGAAAAAAUUGCCGGGUUCCGGCUCGGCUUUCAACGCGACCCCAGGUCAGGCGGGGUUACCCGCUGAAUUUAAGCAUAUCAAUAAGCGGAGGA